GUAACUGUUCUUUAUUUAUUCAUAUAUAGUAUGAUAACAAGCAUGGUGCAAAAGUGAUACAGCAAAUAACAUAGAUUAACAGUUACAUGUAAUUCCUCAGGACGAAAUAGUUACAGGCAACGAGUAACACAUGAUAUGAGAUCAUUUAAACACGUCCCUAUAAUACAAUUGAAGUUCAAAGGCUGGCAAGUAUCAAGAACGCAGGUCGAGAAUGUUGAUCGACAAGUAUCCUUACACACAAUAACUCCGUUCUGCCCAUUCACAUAUGUUGUUGCCGAACCUAACACAAUCAGAAAAAACAGAAAUGGAAGCAAUGAAGUCAUAUUUUGAGAUAACUUGAAAUGUUCAAAGAUAUUGGCACUGAGUUUAGAAUUGUGGGAUAACUUAGUUGUAUUUAUAAUCAAGUAACCUCCAAAUUAAUUUAUUGAAUUACUUUUUCUCAAAGCAAUAAAAAGUUACGUGGAUUCACGGUAAUGUUUUGUCAAUACCACAAUACCAUAUGUUAUAGGGAAUUUGUAAACAUUAAUAAAACUUCUAGAGAGAAGAAGAAUGAAUAAUUCAGAUAUUUUCACUGCAAAAAUUGUAAAUAAUAUAUAUAUAUUUUUUCAUAAAAUAUUAGAUAUGAAUGAAAUUGUGUCUACUCAUUAGGGGUGAGAACAGGACGGGUCGCCUCGGUGGUAACCGAGUUCGAGUAAAGAGUUUUCUUAACCCCCUCUUCAUCACCUGGCUAAGUGUUCUUAAAUUCUUUAGGGGUAUUUUGCUUCCACCCCUCGACCAAGUGUUCUAAAAUCCUUCUUCGACCAGGUGAAUUAUCUUCGAAUUUACAGAAAGUCGAUCUUGAUAUCUUCAUAAAGUAGACCUCGUUUUCUUUUGAAAGUCGAGUUCGACUUUUCUAAAAGUCGAUGCCACUUACUACUAUGGUGAACUUGUUACGAAUUUCCUACUCUAACUUUUUUCUAUAAAUAGAAGCUCAUAUCCUUCAUUUUACUCCAACCAUGUCUCUUCUUGUUAGCCUCUCUUUGCCGAUUUUCUGCAAGGGGAAAUUGAGGAGUUUAACGAAAUUUUAAACAUUCUGGAUCCUCGAGCUUCUGUCGUGGAUCUCCUUGCUAAACGUCAACUGAUUUAUUGAGCGGCUGAGCUUUGCUGUACGUAGCAACUCGGGAGUCUAUAUUUAAAGAAUAAAAUGGUGGGGAAAUCUACGUUGAGGCUCCAAUUACAGUCCCUGCUCCAACUCAACGUCAGAAGUACCCUCGACGUGCCAGAUCUCAUAUGUCUAAUCUUCCUAGGAUGCUACACCGUCGGAUUAAUUUUAACAUAACCUUGUAAUUUUAUUUUUAAGAACUGGUAACUCCCAAUUUUAUAAAUAAAAUUAUUGUGUAUUUUUUUCAAAAUAUCGAUUCGGGUUUUAUUUUACAAGCAUUAAUUCCAUCUAGUUCGACUUUCCUUAAUUUUUGAAAAAGUCGAACUCAAAAUAUCGAUUUGGAAUUUUCUUACUUUCUCAUAAAAAACUACAAGCGUUUCUCCCUGUUCGACUUUUCUCAAUUGUCGAAUUCUGACUUGACUCGAAUUUUAUGGAAAAAGGAAAUCAUUCAGAAUGAAAUUACAAAUGAUGCAAUAAUAAUAAAAAUAGAAAAAUCUAAUAUUUGGGUAAACGACGUCGAGAUCUUGCCAAUGAUAUGUGUGUCAAUAUAGUUCUGAUUAGACACGAAAAAUUGAAAAUAUUCACAUUUCAUUAACUCAAGAUGUCCUUAAUUAAUUGGUAGUUCGAAAUGCCAAUUUUUUUGAGAAGGUUACUAACACCAAAUGAGUGACAGUAACAACCAUUCUUCAUUACUGAUCGUUAGAGAACAUAAACUAAAGAAAUCCCACGCAUAGGCCUAAGAUUGAGAAGAAGAAUCUCCCGAAGGAGCCUGAGGUUGAGAAGAAGAAUCUCCCGAAGGAGCCUGAGGUUGAGAAGAAGAAUCUCCUGAAGGAGCCUGAGGUUGAGAAGAAGAAUCUUUCGAAGGAGCUUAAUCGAGGGAGAAACAAAACUUUGUUGAGUAUCCGAUUCAUAACUUUUCAUUCAUUCUAGCCACUUAUAUACACAAUAGAAAUACAAUCCACCAACCUAACGUUGCCAUGUGACAAUUAUAACAUAUUAAUUCUAAUUAUUUAACUAAUUCUAAAAUAUUAAACCAAAGAUAAAACAGACUGUUACAGUGACCAAAAGGUUAGACAUCUCAGAUGAAAUUGUGAGUUGAUUUAUAUUAACAGGCAUUGAUAUUUACAAAUAUAAUUUUACUAUUUCUCGACAACAACAUAUUCAAUAUCCAAGAUUUUUGAACUUUAAUCGGUAGAUCGAAUAUAUAAAAUCACAGAGUUUCAGGUGCGGAUGUCCGCACCUGAAACUCGAUGUGGUGGACCGUCGGAUGACGUAAAAAUCUCAUCCGUUGGAAAUCCCAUCCGACGGCACGGAGGAUGAACCGCACCGCACGUCCUCCGUGCACUGAACUACACCGGACUUGGUAUCCGUUAUGGUGAAGUUCGGUGUCCGUGUCCGUUUCGUUCAUUUUGGUGAAGUUCUGGUGUCGUCAGUCCGUGUCCGUUCUGGCCAAGUUCUCACCGGCGCACCCAACCGCACCGGCGAGAACCGCACCAGAAGCGGAUCCUAUAUAAAAUAUUUUCGGUUACUCAUACUCCUAUAUAUAUAGAAAAAUUUGAGUCAUAAUAUAUGCGUAUUUCAGUGCUCGUUAGAAUAAGAUAUUUUUUUUUAAAAAACAUAAGUUUCGGACAUUAUAGAUUGUCGUCUUACGUACGUAACCCAGUUUCAGAGACGGUACGUCCGCAUCAUCGACGGAGUAGGGUAUCUCCAGAACAACAUCGCAGACGGCAUUGACCCGCUGGAACAACAUCACGGACGACAAUGACCUUUGGGAACUCCACUUGCAAACUCCAACUGCGAUGAGGGAACCACGAUUCUCUGCCAUUUCCAGGCUCACGAUGACGGAAUCGUCAUUCUCUGCCAACUUCCGAACUCGCGAUGACCGAACUUCUCUCACGAUUCCGCGAUAACGGAACUCCACUCGAGACGGACGGUUGUGCGAGUUCGUGCGAUGUGGACGGAUAUUCCAAACUCCACUCGAAUGUCCAUGAUGCGAACUUACGGUACCAAAAAUGCGUCUUAAAAAACAAUCCAAAAAUCCUCAUCACAACGGACAUUUUAUAAAGUAACUGUUCUUUAUUUAUUCAUAUAUAGUAUGAUAACAAGCAUAAUGCAAAAGUGAUACAGCAAACAACACAGAUUAACAGUUACAUGCAAUUCCUCAGGACGAAAUAGUUACAGGCAACGAGUAACACAUGAUAUGAGAUCAUUUAAACACGUCCCUUUAAUACAAUUGAUGUUCAAAGGCUGGCAAGUAUCAAGAACGCAGGUCGAGAAUGUAGAUCGACAAGUAUCCUUACACACAAUAAAUCCGUCUUGCCCAUUCACAUAUGUUGUUGCCGAACCUAACACAAUCAGAAAAAACAGAAAUGGAAGCAAUGAAGUCAUAUUUUGAGAUAACUUGAAAUGUUCAAAGAUAUUGGUUGAGUUUAG
rnacentral:lncRNA from 1 species